UCAUAAAUGUUGGUUCUGUGGAAUGGAUAUUGUUUCUUGAUAUUUCUCUUGUCCUUUCUUGUAGAUCGUGCUUUCGGGCCUACAACGACUACAAGCCAUGUCUAUGAUGAUUGCUGCUCAGCAUGUUGUUAAUGAUGCUAUAGCGGGGAUCAAUGGUAUGUUCUAAACAACUUUUUAUUAGCCUAUCUAGUUAAGACUUUAUUCGAAUAUCUUCAAAUUUCUCAUGAUCAUCAACACAAAGCAAUACUAGUGAAGCAUUUAAGGAGGGCUUAACCAUUAUGAAAGAUUCAUUAACACACCCAAUACAACCUCUUCCCCAAAUUCCAAAUCUGCCUAUCCCGACAAUGGGACUACCUCCAUUGCCCUCAACAUUGCCACAACCAUCUCUACCAACUCUUCCCACAAUAUGUUGUAUUUUGGAAUAUUGUUUUGGGUGAUAAUCUAAAUAUUCUUAUAUAGGGAAAGAAAGACGUGUU